GGUAGACAGCCGGGGGUCAGGUCGAGGGGGGGUGAGCUACGAGGGGGAGCACUACAGUGGGGUGUUGACCCCCCAGGCUGACCCCCGCCCCCCUCCCCACCACCGCCGCCCCCUCAGACACCUCCGGACCAGUAGAACCCCCCGUAACGUCCACUUCCCCUAAGAUACCAAGACCACAACCACAACACCACCUACAGCGCCUACCACAACAACUACAGUACCAAUACCAACAACAACAGUAUCAGUACCCACAGAAACAACCACAACAACCACAACAACCACAACAAAAGCUUUACCAACAACAACAACAACAGCAACAACAGGAACAUUAUCAGUACCCACAACAGCAACAGCACUACCAACAGCCUCAACAACAACAGCAAAAAGCACAGCAAAAACAGCAAACUAUUCGCCCUACGCCAUACACCAGACAGGUGUGAGGUGUGACAGGUUUGACGGUGACAGUGACGGAAGCAGUGUGACGGUGGCAAUGUGACGGUAAUGACGGAAGCAGUGUGACGGUGGCAAUGUGACGGUAAUGACGGAAGCAGUCUACAAAAAUCAAGAAAAAAAAAUGCAUAAAAAAUGAAGAAAAUGAAACAGAGAGAAAGUGGACUAACUCUGACACGAGUAAACACACGAGUGAAAGUCCCGUUGCAUUAUUGCCAUCUGGAGAGAAAGUUUUUUGUGUGUUGAGAGAAAGUGAUAUGUGGGAGACGAAAAUCAAAAGAAAAUUAAAAAAGCAAGUUUGUGAGUGACGAAGAUGGAUAGAAAAUGAAAAAGAGAGUUACAUAAGAGACGAAAAUGAAGAGAAAGUCAAGAAGAAAGUGAGAU